rnacentral:rRNA from 1 species
AUACGGAGGGUGCAAGCGUUAUUCGGAAUCACUGGGCGUAAAGGACGCGUAGGCGGGUUGGCAAGUCAGAUGUGAAAUCCUACAGCUUAACUGUAGAACUGCAUUUGAAACUGCUAACCUAGAGUAUGGGAGGGGGAGAUGGAAUUAGUGGUGUAGGGGUAAAAUCCGUAGAUAUCACUAGGCAUACCGAAAGCGAAGGCGAUCUCCUGGAACAUAACUGACGCUAAGGCGUGAAAGCGUGGGGAGCAAACAGAAGUAGAAACCCUAGUAGUCC